rnacentral:lncRNA from 1 species
GUAUGUCUUUAACAAUUGUAGCAUUCUAUAUAUAAUGUAUAUGCAACAUGUAAUUUCCAAUUAUACUAGGGGUGGUGCUAUAUCAUAUUAUUCCACUAAUUACAUUCCUUUUUUUCCGCUCCUAGGUUAUACACGAGUUUAUUGUAUAUAAUUGUGUCCAUUAUUGAUCUUCCUACUGUUAGAUCAAAUUAUCUAUAAGAUACUGCUGUCGUUUUUCCCAAUCUUUGUUCCAUCACUCACUCUCUUAAUGCCAUUGAUUGGCUCUCAUUUGUUGUAGUUGUGGUUUUCUCAUCAUCCAUAUCCAUUUAAAUGGCAUCACGAUACUUCUUUAUUCAUCUUCGCCCGGAGAUGACGAUCUAUCUCAGUCAUCACAUCCCUAUUGUCCAGUUCUCAUUGAAGCACUUUAGGUUAACUCGAUCUAUAUCAUUAUUUAAUCGCUUUCUCAUUUGUUUUAAUAUUUCCUUUGCCUUUACUAAGACCAACUUAUAUCAGCAUAAGCUAA